rnacentral:rRNA from 1 species
GCUGCAUGGCUGUCGUCAGCUCGUGUUGUGAAAUGUUGGGUUAAGUCCCGCAACGAGCGCAACCCUUAUCCUUUGUUGCCAGCGGUCCGGCCGGGAACUCAAAGGAGACUGCCAGUGAUAAACUGGAGGAAGGUGGGGAUGACGUCAAGUCAUCAUGGCCCUUACGACCAGGGCUACACACGUGCUACAAUGGCGCAUACAAAGAGAAGCGACCUCGCGAGAGCAAGCGGACCUCAUAAAGUGCGUCGUAGUCCGGAUUGGAGUCUGCAACUCGACUCCAUGAAGUCGGAAUCGCUAGUAAUCGUGGAUCAGAAUGCCACGGUGAAUACGUUCCCGGGCCUUGUACACACCGCCCGUCACACCAUGGGAGUGGGUUGCA